GGACGCGUAGCUCAGCUGGUUAGAGCGCUUGAUUCACAUUCAAGAGGUCAGAGGUUCGAAUCCUCUCGCGUCCACCA
rnacentral:tRNA from 1 species